UUUUGACGUGCACGUCACUGGGAUAUAACUUUUUGAGGCUGCUAUUCAGUAAUAAUACUGGUGGUAUUAUUACUACUGCUAAUGCUACUCUUGUUUUUGUAGUCAUUUUAUUACAAUAAUUUUUUUUUUUCUUUGAGACGAAGAGUCUCACUCUGUUGCCCAGGCUGGAGUGUUGUUUGUUCUUUUACAAUCACUUAGCCAGCAAUCCUGGCUUUAAAUCCUGCUCCAUGCGAUCUUAGCUAUCUGACCCUGAGGGGGGCUUUUGUUCCCUGAGCCUGUUUCCCUGUCUGUAAAAUGGGACUCCAGCUAGUGACAUGGGUGCAGCUUCGCCUCAACAGCAUCAAGAAGCUGUCCACCAUCGCCUUGGCCCUUGGGGUUGAAAGGACCCGAAGUGAGCUUCUGCCUUUCCUUACAGAUACCAUCUAUGAUGAAGAUGAAGUCCUCCUGGCCCUGGCAGAACAGCUGGGAACCUUCACUACCCUGGUGGGAGGCCCAGAGUACGUGCACUGCCUGCUGCCACCGCUGGAGUCGCUGGCCACAGUGGAGGAGACAG
rnacentral:sRNA from 1 species